rnacentral:misc_RNA from 1 species
AUCCCUUAUAAAAAAAUAAAAGAAAAAAAAUAAAAUUAUUUUCUUGUACAAUGAAAAAAAAGCAUUUUAAAAGUCAAAACCCAAAAUAUUUUUGUUUUCACUAAACACAAGCAGCUGUUAAAUAAUUGUUGCUAAAUGUCAUUUUAAAUAAUAAAUUUUAAUUCACUGCUGGAGAAGAUAACACGAGCAACACAGAAACGGCCACUAAAAAUAAAAUCUGCUACUUUUAGAAAAAUAAAAAAAAUUAAUACAAGAUAUAUUUGUUCGGAGGGUGAAGAGGUGAAAAGGCUGCAAAUAUGAACAACAUGUUGUUGAUUUAAGCAAAAUUUUUAAAUGCAAAUACAACAUUUUAAAAUCAUUCUAAUAAAAUCAAUACGCUAAACACACGCUGAUCAUCAUUUAGUCUAUUUAAAAUAGAAAGAGAUGUUGAUUAAGGAGUAUCACAUCCCACUGCCGCUCACGGUGGAGGAGUAUCGUAUAGCCCAGCUGUAUAUGAUAGCGAAAAAGAGUCGUGAAGAAAGUCAUGGCGAAGGCAGUGGUGUUGAAAUCAUUAUAAAUGAACCCUACGAUGAUGGGCCAGGUGGCAAAGGACAGUACACCAAAAAGAUCUAUCAUGUUGGCAGUCAUUUGCCAGGCUGGAUUAAAAGUCUGCUGCCUAAAAGUGCUUUAACAGUGGAAGAAGAAGCCUGGAAUGCUUAUCCCUAUACUCGUACACGUUACACCUGUCCAUUUGUGGAAAAAUUCUCCUUAGAUAUAGAAACAUAUUAUUUCCCUGAUAAUGGCUAUCAGGAUAAUGUCUUUAAAUUAACCGGUAGCGAACUAAGAAAUAGGGAAAUUGACUGCAUUGAUAUUGUCAAGGAUCAAUUGUUUGGCGGUGAUUAUGUCAAAGAAGAGGAUCCUAAAUUAUAUGUGUCCGAAAAAACCGGCAGAGGCCCUUUGGGCGAAGACUGGCUGGAGGAGUAUUGGCGUGAAGUUAAGGGCAAAAAACAACCCACAUCUCGUAAUAUGUCCUUGAUGUGUGCCUAUAAAAUUUGUCGUGUAGAAUUUCGCUACUGGGGCAUGCAAACUAAAUUGGAAAAAUUCAUACACGAUGUAGCUUUAAGAAAAACAAUGUUAAGAGCCCAUCGUCAAGCCUGGGCCUGGCAAGAUGAAUGGCAUGGUCUAACCAUUGAAGAUAUUAGAGAAAUUGAAAGACAAACCCAAGCCGCAUUGGCGCGUAAAAUGGGUGGUGGUGAUUUAAGUGGUGAAGAAGAGGAGGAGGAAGAAAGCAUUUCUGAAGGUCAUUUGGAAUCACAUUCUGCCGAUACUGAGGAACGUGUGAUUAAAGAACCUCCCGUUGUUACAGAGCAACCACCCAGUGAGGAAGUUUCUUCGGAUGAUGAAGAAGUACCCGAACAAAAUAAUUCCAGCGAAAGAUCUCGUUCUCAAAGUAUACAAAUGAUUAAAUCAAAAUCUGGCUCCAAACCGGGCGGUCUACACUCACCUUUAGGAUCUGCGCAUAGUUUUGAGUUACAGCAGCAUGCCAAAAAUGCUAAGCGUAAAAACGUGGCUAAUUGGCGUAUGGAACGUUUGGAAGUUGAUUCAAAAUCGAAUUCGGAAGAAGAAUUUUUCGAUUGUGUGGAGGAAAUUCCAAUUUCAGAUACAAAUGACAGCAAUUCUUUGGCGAAAUGGAGUUCUUUGGAAUUGUUGGGUGAACCAGAUGAUAGUCCGCCGCCACAUAGUAGUGGUCAAGGUAAGAGUAAACAGGAGGAUAGUAUAUUCAAUCAAGAUUUUCUAAUGCGUGUGGCCUCGGAGAGAGGUACUAGAAGACAAUUGCGUUCAUCGCAAAGCGUGGAAAGAGGUCAUGAUAUAUCACCGCCUGGUUCGCCGGGCACACCAUCUUGUUCCACCACCAUUUUGAUAUUGGUAGUACAUGCUGGAAGUGUAUUGGAUGCUACCAGUGAAUUGACUUCCAAAAAAUCUGAUGUCACCACAUUUCGUGGUUCUUUUGAGUCUGUUAUGCGUCAACAUUAUCCGAGCCUAUUGACCCAUGUUACCAUUAAAAUGGUACCAUGUCCAUCCAUUUGUACCGAUGCUCUGGGCAUUUUGUCUAGCUUAAGUCCAUAUUCAUUUGAUUCUUCACCCUCAGCUGAUAUACCCAAUAUAGCGGAUGUUCCUAUUGGCGCCAUUCCAUUGCUGGCGGUCUCAUCACCAGAAUUUCAGGACACUGUCAAUAAAACCGUACAGGCAGCUAAUAUUGUUUACCAUGAAUUUCUUAAAUCAGAGGAAGGUCAUGGUUUCUCUGGACAAAUUGUAAUGUUGGGAGAUUCUAUGGGUUCUCUGUUGGCUUAUGAGGCAUUGUGUCGUACUAAUGGCAACGAUGGUACCAGUCGUUCUUCACGCAACACGGAUGAUGAUGAACGUUUUGAUGAUUCCGAAUUGGAUGCUAAACGUUUAUUGGUGGCACCCUCACCGCGCCGAAGACGUUCUUCUUCCUCAAGUGAUUCGAAACAUGCGAAAUUAGACUUUGAAGUGGGUGACUUUUUUAUGUUUGGUUCCCCACUAUCUAUAGUAUUGGCAGCUAAAAAAUUACAUGAUUCUAAAACUGCUCUACAACGUCCCAACUGUAAUCAGGUUUAUAAUAUGUUCCAUCCUACCGAUCCAACGGCUUCCCGUUUAGAACCUUUACUAAGUGCCAGAUUUUCCAUGCUGGCUCCCGUUAAUGUACCCCGUUAUGCCAAAUAUCCACUGGGGAAUGGUCAGCCAUUGCAUUUAUUGGAGGUUAUUCAAUCAAAUCCCCAACAUUUUAAUGACUCCAACAACAUUAUGUGCGGUCGUCGUUUAUCAGAUGCUUCCAUGCAAAUACAAAUGAAAUGGUGGGGUACAAAACGUUUAGAUUAUGCCAUGUAUUGCCCAGAAGGUUUAAGUAACUUUCCAGCCAAUGCUUUGCCACAUUUAUUCCAUGCCAGCUACUGGGAAAGUGCUGAUGUUAUAGCAUUUAUAUUAAGACAAAUUGGUAAAUUUGAAGGCAUUCCAUAUGUUACAUCCAUGGACAACAAAGAAACUGUCCACUUUAAUCCCGGCCAACCGAGAGAAAAAUGGAUACGCAAACGUACCUCGGUGAAAUUGAAAAAUGUGGCCGCCAAUCAUCGUGCCAAUGAUGUGAUAGUUUUAGAGGGACGUGAGCAACGUCUGAAUGCUCGUUUUAUGUAUGGUCCUUUGGAUAUGAUCACUCUACAUGGCGAAAAAGUUGAUAUACACAUAAUGAAAGAUCCACCCGCUGGCGAGUGGAGUUUUCUUAGUACAGAGGUUACCGAUAAAACUGGUCGGAUUUCCUACAGCAUACCCGAACAUGUAGCAUUCGGUUAUGGCAUUUAUCCCAUUAAAAUGGUAGUGAGAGGUGAUCACACUUCAGUGGACUGUUAUUUAGCGGUGGUGCCACCUUUAACGGAAUGUGUAGUCUUUAGUAUAGAUGGCUCAUUUACCGCCUCGAUGUCGGUGACCGGACGUGAUCCUAAAGUAAGAGCUGGGGCGGUAGAUGUUUGCCGUCAUUGGCAGGAAUUGGGUUAUUUAUUAAUCUAUAUAACCGGUAGACCGGAUAUGCAACAGCAACGUGUUGUUUCCUGGCUGAGUCAGCAUAAUUUUCCUCAUGGUCUCAUAUCAUUUGCCGAUGGUCUUUCCACUGAUCCGUUGGGUCAUAAAACCGCUUAUCUAAAUAAUCUGGUGCAAAAUCAUGGAAUCUCAAUAAUGGCCGCUUAUGGUAGCAGUAAAGAUAUUAGUGUUUAUACCAAUGUGGGCCUAAGAUCAGAUCAGAUAUUUAUAGUGGGAAAGGUUAGCAAAAAAUUGCAAACCAAUGCCACAGUAUUAAAUGAUGGUUAUGCUGCUCAUUUAUCGGCCUUGCAAGCUGUGGGCGGUUCUCGACCCGCCAAAGGCAAUGCUCGUAUGGUUAUACCACGCGGUUGUUUCAAUUUACCGGGUCAAACUACUAAUCCUCGACGUAGGAGCAACGAGACCGGUCUAUCUUCGCCAAUACGCAGUGGCUACUUAAAACGUAAAACCUAUUUUAGUCACCAAUAAAACUGAAACUGAAAAAACCUAACGAUCCAAAGUCAUCAAAAAAGAACAAGAUCCUGUUGACGGGAAUAUAUCACCAUGUCACCAACAACAGCCAACCACCAUAUUCAUUUUGUUAGAUGAUAUUAAAAAAACAGUUAUAACUUAAUAGUUGUUAUAACAAACAAAAAAAUAUAAUACCAGUUCCAUUAGUUAAAAUAAUGCAGUUUAGAGAGACGUUAACUAUUAGAGAGACGUUUGUUCCAUUAACUAAAGCAUGCCUACUUACUAUACACAUCAAAAUAGCUGAGAUAUCAUUGCAAUUUAUUCAAUUACAAAAUAAAACAAAAAUCAAAAACUACUAUAAUUUACUCGUAUUUAACCAGAAUUAACUAAAAAUAUCAAAAAAGAAAAAUGCAAAAAAAAAACAAAUUCAACAAUUCGUUUACAUUAAAAAAUGCAAAAGAAUAUAGCUGGAGAAAUCAUACAUCAUUCCAAUUAAACAAAAUUGCGAAAUAAUUAAUACUUUAAUAAUAAUUGUUAUUGUUCAAUUAAAACUAUAAGAACAAUUAAGAAAAUAAAGACAUCGUCUAACAUUGUCACGCAGUACCUGGCUAGAAAGACUGUUUCCUCCUGUUGUUUGAUGGUAUUACAAACUACAUAAAAAAACUCAAACAGAAACCGAAACAAAUACUAAGUAAUCAGAUUAAAAAACAAAACAAUACAUGCU